UACAGAGGGUGCAAGCGUUGUUCGGAAUCACUGGGCGUAAAGCGCGUGUAGGCGGUCUGUUAAGUCAGGUGUGAAAGCCCCCGGCUCAACCGGGGAAGUGCGCUUGAAACUGGCAGGCUUGAGUGUCGAAGAGGGAAGGGGAAUUCCCGGUGUAGAGGUGAAAUUCGUAGAUAUCGGGAGGAACACCGGUGGCGAAGGCGCCUUCCUGGUCGACAACUGACGCUGAGACGCGAAAGCGUGGGUAGCAAACAGG
rnacentral:rRNA from 1 species